UACGGGGGGGGCAAGCGUUGUUCGGAAUCACUGGGCGUAAAGGGUGCGUAGGCCGCACGGUAAGUCAGAUGUGAAAGCCCGGAGCUCAACUCCGGAACUGCAUCCGAUACUGCCGUGCUUGAGGACUGGAGAGGAGUCUGGAAUUCACAGUGGAGCAGUGAAAUGCGUAGAUAUUGUGAGGAACACUAGUGGCGAAGGCGAGACUCUGGACAGUUCCUGACGCUGAGGCACGAAGGCCAGGGGAGCAAACGGG
rnacentral:rRNA from 1 species